GAUGAACGCUGGCGGCGUGCCUAAUACAUGCAAGUCGAGCGAACAGACGAGGAGCUUGCUCCUCUGACGUUAGCGGCGGACGGGUGAGUAACACGUGGAUAACCUACCUAUAAGACUGGGAUAACUUCGGGAAACCGGAGCUAAUACCGGAUAAUAUAUUGAACCGCAUGGUUCAAUAGUGAAAGACAGUUUUGCUGUCACUUAUAGAUGGAUCCGCGCCGCAUUAGCUAGUUGGUAAGGUAACGGCUUACCAAGGCGACGAUGCGUAGCCGACCUGAGAGGGUGAUCGGCCACACUGGAACUGAGACACGGUCCAGACUCCUUCGGGAGGCAGCAGUAGGGAAUCUUCCGCAAUGGGCGAAAGCCUGACGGAGCAACGCCGCGUGAGUGAUGAAGGUCUUCGGAUCGUAAAACUCUGUUAUUAGGGAAGAACAAAUGUGUAAGUAACUAUGCACGUCUUGACGGUACCUAAUCAGAAAGCCACGGCUAACUACGUG
rnacentral:rRNA from 1 species